rnacentral:rRNA from 1 species
CCUACGGGUGGCUGCAGUGGGGAAUAUUGGACAAUGGGGGCAACCCUGAUCCAGCCAUGCCGCGUGUGUGAAGAAGGCCCUCGGGUUGUAAAGCACUUUCAGUGAGGAAGAACGCCUGGUGGUUAAUACCCAUCAGGAAAGACAUCACUCACAGAAGAAGCACCGGCUAACUCCGUGCCAGCAGCCGCGGUAAUACGGAGGGUGCGAGCGUUAAUCGGAAUUACUGGGCGUAAAGCGCGCGUAGGUGGCUUGAUAAGCCGGUUGUGAAAGCCCCGGGCUCAACCUGGGAACGGCAUCCGGAACUGUCAAGCUAGAGUGCAGGAGAGGACGGUAGAAUUCCCGGUGUAGCGGUGAAAUGCGUAGAGAUCGGGAGGAAUACCAGUGGCGAAGGCGGCCUUCUGGACUGACACUGACACUGAGGUGCGAAAGCGUGGGUAGCAAACAGGAUUAGAUACCCUUGUAGUC